rnacentral:rRNA from 1 species
UACGAAGGGGGCUAGCGUUGCUCGGAAUCACUGGGCGUAAAGCGCACGUAGGCGGACUCUUAAGUCGGUGGUGAAAUCCUGGAGCCCAACUCCAGAACUGCCUUCGAUACGUGAGAGUCUUGAGUCCGGGAGAGGUGAGUGGAACUGCGAGUGUAGAGGUGAAAUUCGUAGAGUAUCGCAAGAACACCAGUGGCGAAGGCGGCUCACUGGCCCGG